UCGGGACCUCGCCUCUGCCUUCUGCCGCUGGUGCCUUUACGCACAACUCGGAGCUCCAAACCCCUCUCCACGGACGCACGGCAUGGCGGUUUUGGCACUCACGCUGCGCUUUGGUUGGCGUGGAUAUUGCGAGAUCUUUUGUUAUAACCCAGUGCAUUUUGACCACAACCGGAACCAACAAUACACCUGGUGUCGGGCCCUGGGAUCUGGAUGACACUUGGCAAGCUGUAGAAGCCGCAAGACAACUGGAUGAAAUAUUUAAAUGAAAGACGGCAGGGGUAGAAGAGGUGAAGGGGGGGGGGGGGGUGAGAGAGAGAAAAGAAUAUAGGACAGAGGACGA